rnacentral:lncRNA from 1 species
CCAGGUUUGUGCCUGCUUGAAGUAGACAUGCCCAGGCAGGGAGGAGAUCCCUGAAUCUGGGUACAGGCCACUCUUCCUUCCCUUUCCGCCGACCCAUCAGCAACUAGGAUGGAUGUAAGGAAGGUUAGCCAAGAAGAGGCAACCCAAUGACCUGGACUGGAAACCACUGAGCAAUAAUGGGUCCUUGCUGAUACUGUCUGUGGUGCUUGUUAUGCAGCAAGAUUAUAGCUGAUUCGAAGGAAGGAUACAAACUCAGUGAAUCUUGAAGAGGAAGUGACUCUAACUGGGGAUCUGGUACAGAAGGGAAAACAGUUUAAACUGGGUGAGACAUAAAGCUCCUAUGGGAAGAGGAUUUUGCACUAAGAGGAAGAGGCAUGGACAUGGACAUCAGUGGGCCUAGAGGCAUAUCCUGAGGAAGCCACAGGCAUCACUCAUAUUCCUCUCUCCACAGUUUGA